rnacentral:rRNA from 1 species
GACAGAGGGUGCAAACGUUGUUCGGAAUUACUGGGCGUAAAGCGUACGUAGGCGGCUUUGUAAGUUAGAGGUGAAAGCCUGGAGCUCAACUCCAGAACUGCCUUUAAAACUGCAUCGCUUGAAUCCAGGAGAGGUGAGUGGAAUUCCGAGUGUAGAGGUGAAAUUCGUAGAUAUUCGGAAGAACACCAGUGGCGAAGGCGGCUCACUGGACUGGUAUUGACGCUGAGGUACGAAAGCGUGGGGAGCAAACAGG